rnacentral:rRNA from 1 species
AUGUCUCGGACUGAUUGGGCGUUUGCCCGUGCGGAUCUUGCCGCGGGCCACAUUUCUGCAUCUUGGGCAGCCAGCUUCCACGCUGAUAUGCGAAUGGCCAAAAUCUCCCUCCAUGUAGGGAUGGUCUUCCUCUCCUCGACAGGGCAUCUGGCUCUCCUUGAUGAGGACAAGGUAAUUUUGGAUGCUCGUUUGCUCCAUGAUGGUGAAUCCAUUUCCACCGGAGAUGAGAUCUCCUUCCCAUGUUACAAGGCCAUGAUCGGGUGUAUGGUUGGGCAUUCGCCGGCCCCCACGGCCACCUCUGCUCCGUCUGCUUCGUCUGUGGACCCAUCGUCCCCGGAUCCGGCUGCCAAGGUUCCUCCCAUUUUGGAUGUUGAUACUUCUGCGGAUAAUAUCAUUGGUGGGGAGAAACAGGAUUCAGGUUUAGAGAUUGGUCUAGACCUUCGCCUGGGUAUGGAUUUCCAGCGAUCGGUUUGGCAAAGAUACCACUGCCCAGUUGCUUUCUUGCCUGGCAAAUGUGCACAUGAAUUCUUCUUGGUGGCUUCUUUCAAGCACUUCAAGCACCACCUGGAAUGUACCUCUGUCAGUGCCUACCUCAACGCCUGUUUGGGUGGUAUUGCUUCAGACUUUAAUGUGAUAUCUCUUCGGUAUAAUACCUACAGAUUCUUAGUUUGCUCAAGACAGAUGGGCUUCUUUAUCUACUCUCAAAAAAGCUAUAGCUGGUCUCACUUCGCGGUAUUAUUCCAUCUGUGGGGCAAUGGAGGUCCGGACUUUGUGCAUGAAUUCAGAGACUGGGAACAGGUGGAAUCAGACUCUUGGACUGUCGUCUCUCAUAAAAAAGUUCAGGCCAUGGGACAAUGA